CAUCACGUUGAAACACCUUAAUCCCGUACCAUCAUCGAAGUUAAGCAACGUCGAUCCAGGUCAGUACCCAGAUGGGUGACCGCUUGGGAAUACCAGAUGCCGUAAG